rnacentral:tRNA from 1 species
GGCGCUGUAGCUUAGUGGCCAAAGCGCCUGUCUCGUAAACAGGAAAUCCUGGAUUCAAAUCCCAGCAGUGCCU